rnacentral:rRNA from 1 species
UACGGAGGGGACUAGCGUUGUUCGGAAUUACUGGGCGUAAAGCGCGCGUAGGCGGAUUUGCAAGUCGGGGGUGAAAGCCCGAGGCUCAACCUCGGAACUGCCUUCGAUACUGCAAAUCUCGAGUCCGAGAGAGGUGAGUGGAAUUCCUAGUGUAGAGGUGAAAUUCGUAGAUAUUAGGAAGAACACCAGUGGCGAAGGCGGCUCACUGGCUCGGUACUGACGCUGAGGCGCGAAAGCGUGGGAGCAAACAGG